rnacentral:rRNA from 1 species
GGUUAAGCGACUAAGCGUACACGGUGGAUGCCCUGGCAGUCAGAGGCGAUGAAGGGCGUGCUAAUCUGCGAUAAGCGCCGGUAAGGUGAUAUGAACCGUUAUAACCGGCGAUACCCGAAUGGGGAAACCCAGUGUGAUUCGUCACACUAUCAUUAACUGAAUCCAUAGGUUAAUGAGGCGAACCGGGGGAACUGAAACAUCUAAGUACCCCGAGGAAAAGAAAUCAACCGAGAUUCCCCCAGUAGCGGCGAGCGAACGGGGAGGAGCCCAGAGCCUGAAUCAGCAUGUGUGUUAGUGGAAGCGUCUGGAAAGGCGCGCGAUACAGGGUGACAGCCCCGUACACAAAAGCGCAUGUGCUGUGAGCUCGAUGAGUAGGGCGGGACACGUGGUAUCCUGUCUGAAUAUGGGGGGACCAUCCUCCAAGGCUAAAUACUCCUGACUGACCGAUAGUGAACCAGUACCGUGAGGGAAAGGCGAAAAGAACCCCGGCGAGGGGAGUGAAAAAGAACCUGAAACCGUGUACGUACAAGCAGUGGGAGCCCCACCACUAAGCCAGUGGUGAACUCCACAUACGCAUCCUUUGCUGAGGAUACGGUUAACGGAGCGAAAGCGACGUUCAACCUCAAAAGAAGCAGAGGGGGCUUAGUGGUGGGGUGACUGCGUACCUUUUGUAUAAUGGGUCAGCGACUUAUAUUCUGUAGCAAGGUUAACCGAAUAGGGGAGCCGGAGGGAAACCGAGUCUUAAUUGGGCGUUAAGUUGCAGGGUAUAGACCCGAAACCCGGUGAUCUAGCCAUGGGCAGGUUGAAGGUUGGGUAACACUAACUGGAGGACCGAACCGACUAAUGUUGAAAAAUUAGCGGAUGACCUGUGGCU